AUACGUAGGGUGCGAGCGUUGUCCGGAAUUACUGGGCGUAAAGAGUUCGUAGGUGGUUUGUCGCGUCGUCUGUGAAAUUCCGGGGCUUAACUCCGGGCGUGCAGGCGAUACGGGCAUAACUUGAGUACUGUAGGGGAGACUGGAAUUCCUGGUGUAGCGGUGAAAUGCGCAGAUAUCAGGAGGAACACCGGUGGCGAAGGCGGGUCUCUGGGCAGUAACUGACGCUGAGGAGCGAAAGCAUGGGUAGCGAACAGGAUUAGAUACCCUGGUAGUCCAUGCCGUAAACGGUGGGCGCUAGGUGUAGGGGUCUUCCACGACUUCUGUGCCGUAGCUAACGCAUUAAGCGCCCCGCCUGGGGAGUGCGGCCGCAAGGCUAAAACUCAAAGGAAUUGACGGGG
rnacentral:rRNA from 1 species